UACAGAGGGUGCGAGCGUUAAUCGGAAUUACUGGGCGUAAAGCGCGCGUAGGCGGCUUGGCAAGUCGGAUGUGAAAUCCCUCGGCUCAACCAAGGAAGUGCAUCCGAAACUGCCGAGCUUGAGUACUUAAGAGGAUCGCGGAAUUCCCGGUGUAGAGGUGAAAUUCGUAGAUAUCGGGAGGAAUACCAGUGGCGAAGGCGGCGAUCUGGGAAGAUACUGACGCUGAGGUGCGAAAGCGUGGGGAGCAAACAGG
rnacentral:rRNA from 1 species